rnacentral:rRNA from 1 species
AGUUUGAUCCUGGCUCAAGAUGAACGCUGGCGGCGUGCUUAACACAUGCAAGUCGAACGGGAAUGCCGCGCUGAUGCGAUUUCGGUCAAAUCAUGUGGCAUUCGAGUGGCGGACGGGUGAGUAACGCGUGGGUAACCUGCCUUACACAGGGGGAUAACACCUGGAAACAGGGUGCUAAUACCGCAUAAGCGCACAGGGCCGCAUGGCCCGGUGUGAAAAACUCCGGUGGUGUAAGAUGGACCCGCGUCUGAUUAGCUUGUUGGCGGGGUAGGGGCCCACCAAGGCGACGAUCAGUAGCCGGCCUGAGAGGGUGGACGGCCACAUUGGGAAUGAGACACGGCCCAAACUCCUACGGGAGGCAGCAGUGGGGGAUAUUGGACAAUGGGGGAAACCCUGAUCCAGCGACGCCGCGUGAGUGAAGAAGUAUUUCGGUAUGUAAAGCUCUGUCAGCAGGGAAGAAAGAAAUGACGGUACCUGACCAAGAAGCACCGGCUAACUACGUGCCAGCAGCCGCGGUAAUACGUAGGGGGCAAGCGUUAUCCGGAAUUACUGGGUGUAAAGGGAGCGUAGACGGUGAUGCAAGUCUGGAGUGAAAGGCGGGGGCCCAACCCCCGGACUGCUCUGGAAACUGUGUAACUUGAGUGCAGGAGAGGUAAGCGGAAUUCCUAGUGUAGCGGUGAAAUGCGUAGAUAUUAGGAGGAACACCAGUGGCGAAGGCGGCUUACUGGACUGUAACUGACGUUGAGGCUCGAAAGCGUGGGGAGCAAACAGGAUUAGAUACCCUGGUAGUCCACGCCGUAAACGAUG